CGCUUCUUGCAAAAACGAUGAAUAAGAAGCCUCGCCUGCCCUGUGACUAUACGUUUAACGGCCGCGGUAUUUUGACCGUGCGAAGGUAGCGCAAUCACUUGUCUCUUAAAUGGAGACCCGUAUGAAUGGCACAACGAGGGCUUAACUGUCUCCUUUUUCAAGUCAAUGAAAUUGACCUCCCCGUGCAGAGGCGGGCAUAAAAACAUAAGACGAGAAGACCCUAUGGAGCUUUAGACAUAAAACAGCUCACGUCAAUCACCUUAAAACAAAAAGACAAACUAAAUAACCCCUGUUCAAAUGUCUUUGGUUGGGGCGACCGCGGGGUAACAAACAACCCCCAUGUAGAAUAAAAACACCCUUUUUUAAACCAAGAGUGACCACUCUAACAAACAGAACAUCUGACUAACCAUGAUCCGGCUUGACCGAUCAACGAACCGAGUUACCCUAGGGAUAACAGCGCAAUCCUCUUUUAGAGUCCAUAUCGACAAGAGGGUUUACGACCUCGAUGUUGGAUCAGGACAUCCUAAUGGUGCAGCCGCUAUUAAGGGUUCGUUUGUUCAACGAUUAAAGUCCUACG
rnacentral:rRNA from 1 species